AGCCAGGCCAGCCCUCAGCACAGGAUGUGCCCCAGCACCUGCUUGCCUGGGGCUCACACACCCCAGCUCUCCAGGAAUUGAACUCACUACUUCAUGCUUGCCAGGAAGGUGCUGGGCUGCUGAGCUAUACCCGGGGCCCCAAAACAGUUGAACUUUGGACCCCAGUAAAGGAGGAUUUCAAUUUGGGGGAUAGCAAGGAGGUUUUGGGAAGUGGCCACACUCCUCUGGCAUCUAGAGCACACCACCCCUCGCCAAGCACAACAUGGAUCUGAGAUCUACUUUUUCUUCACGGGUUGUUCACUUUUAGAAGAGCCAGGUUGGAUGAGACGUGCGACUGCAUCACUUGCAGCAGCAAGGGGCCUCUCAUCUCGGUGGUCCUCCCUUGCCCUGCAAGAAUCACAUCUUCCUGAGUAGCCCUUGAGCAGCCAUAUCUGUACCCACACCAGGACAAACCUCUUUCCAUUGUGUUCAGUUGUGAAAGCCCUGAAAACAUGUAAACAUACAUAACCUCGGACAAGCGACAAAGUCCUUCUCCUGCAGUGACCAGCAUAAUGUCCUGAAAUGACUGCCGUCCAGUUUCCAGAUAGACUCUUACCUAAAACUAGACUCUGGAACUCCAGGCCAUCUCACCCGAGGGAUCCUAGCUCUUUUGUCCCCUACUGCCUUCUAUCUAAGCCCAAGCUUCUUAGCUCCAGCCUAUCUUUCAGGAAUACAGGAUGGUUUCACCCAGAAAAUGCCCCUUACUAUCUGCAUUUGGCAAAACCUUAAUGGGGAGGCAAAGAGAGGAGAUGGCUAACACACACUUUCCCACAGGGCUUCCAAUACUCGGGGCCUUAGAGGGUUUCCUGUGGGAGCCAUGACUUCCAGGGGAAGGAUUGAAGUGACUUUCUAGAGCAGGGGUGGGAGUGAAAGUGGCACACGGACAAGUGAACAUGGAAGAGAACCACAUUCUGACUGGUUCAGAAGUUUGAAAGUGCCCAGCGCUUACCAGGAUUUGUGCAGUUUUGCUUGUAAAAUAACUAUUAUUGCCAGAAAAAAAUAUGUCUAAUCACAUGCCUAUGAAGGUGAUUAAAAGUACUGCAUGACAU